rnacentral:rRNA from 1 species
UGGGGAAUAUUGGACAAUGGGCGCAAGCCUGAUCCAGCCAUGCCGCGUGAGUGAUGAAGGCCUUAGGGUUGUAAAGCUCUUUUAGCGGGGAAGAUAAUGACGGUACCCGCAGAAAAAGCCCCGGCUAACUUCGUGCCAGCAGCCGCGGUAAUACGAAGGGUGCAAGCGUUACUCGGAAUUACUGGGCGUAAAGCGUGCGUAGGUGGUUGGUUAAGUCUGAUGUGAAAGCCCUGGGCUCAACCUGGGAAUGGCAUUGGAAACUGGGCAGCUAGAGUGCGGUAGAGGGUAGUGGAAUUCCCGGUGUAGCAGUGAAAUGCGUAGAGAUCGGGAGGAACAUCUGUGGCGAAGGCGACUGCCUGGACCAGCACUGACACUGAGGCACGAAAGCGUGGGGAGCAAACA